AUGGCAGAGCUGGAAGGAGGACACCUGCGGAGGGUCACAGCCACGGAGAGGACAACAAGCAACCUACGGGAGCACCCUGGGGCAGGNNNNNNNNNNNNNNNNNNNNGNGAGAGNGNGNGNGNGNGGNGGGNAGGCGNGGGGGGGGGGGCAAGCAGAGGAUGGCCACAAGCAGAGCGUGCCCCACCGAGCCUGACCAACACACUCCGCACAACGUCCAGGUUAAUACCUAUGUUAAUACCAAGGAGAAAGGGAGCUACAUCUCUGGCUGGUGCCUCUGCUGGAAAAAAGAGAGCGAGGUUGGAAACCAGGCUCCUCUAAAGAAGAUAAGUCUCCAAAAGUAUUUGUAUUGUGCCACAGGUUUCUAAGAGGGUGCCAUUUUCCUGUGCAUCACUGUUCUUUUUAAACUUCCCAGGAAAACAAGUGCAGUGCCUCACUGGAGCUGGCAGCCUCUGCCUUGCACAAAGAUGUAUUUCCUGAUGAUGAGAGAAAGAUACGUGAGCUGUUACUCUUCUCUGCACAGGGUUGUUUUUGUGUUUGUUUGUUUGGGGUUUUUUAAUCCCACCGAGGGAAGAGGACCAAAAAAGGAGGAGUAUUCACAUCUAUCUGUUUUCUUUCUUGGCUACCCAUUUGAGUAAUAGUUUGAAAAUUGCCAAUGUUCAAUUAGAGUUACCCUUUCCAAACAGAUGGCUAAUUAAAUGUUAAUAGCAUGAACAGGCAAAAUGUUUUAAACACCAUAAACCCCACAAAUGUGUGAGACAUUUUGAAUGCUAUAGCUGAGAGGUGAGGUAAAGCCAGAGCAAUCUAGAUGAGAGGACAUCAUGGUCAAUAAGAUCAAAGCUCUUGAAUUUCUCUGGCAUCUAAUGAAUUCCAACAGCAUUAUUAUUUUUUUUAAUCAGUCAAAACUCUCUUACAGUAGGAAUGACUUUGACAUGCCAUGGUCCACCUGCCAUUCAGUGUCAAGCACCUACAGCCAAAGACCUGGAAAAUUACAAUGGCUGUUUCCUAACCCAUACCUGCAAAUGAUUUUCAGAAGCUACAGAGGCACAGGUACAGUAUCACACCACAAAGGGAGUACUGAAUGACCUUAAGUUUGAUAAACCAAGAAGUUCCAUGGCCUCUCAUUAUUCCUAGGUUGUUUUUUUUUUCUUUCCUAUUUGCUCCCCAGAUUGCAGAACCCUGAAAGCCAGGGCAACCUUUUAUUGUCUUCUGAGGCACCUGCAGAGGAAGUUUCAGGGCAGAUAAAUAAGACAGAAAUGGGAGUGGGCUCUGUUCUUCUUACCCCUGCUCUUCAACAAGUCAUUCACACAUGAAUUUCAUGCAGCACCUGGCAUUGCUUUUCAAACAGCUGUCAGUGCUUUGUAAGGGGCCAUUGAAAGGGACUGUGAUAAAGUUACCUUGCCACAGUCAAGCAUUUCUCAGUAACUCAGCAUACAAGAUGGAGGCUUGAUUAAACAGCAGGCAAAGAAUGAAAAGCCCAUCUAGAAUUAGUGGCUGUAAGCUCUGGGAGUUAAAUGUACUGUAGAGAACCAAAAUUACAUGACACAAUAAAGAGACCUGGUUCAAUAAGGCUUUUAUUAUC
rnacentral:lncRNA from 14 species